GUUCUUUCUGUUUUCCUUUUAGCGAUAGAAGCCUCUGAUUUCCAGCUGGGCCCAUGACUCCUGAGCUAGAGACUACAUUUUUCAGCCUUAUUAGAGCUAGGUGUGGUUACAUGUCUAAGUUUUUACUUCUGGAAAGCUGGUCCUUGACCAUUGUGGCAGUGAAUCAGCUUCUACCAUGCAGAUGAGGGCACUACUCUCGGGGAUGUCUAAAAAACAAGAUGGAAGGACUCUAGUCCCUGGAUAACCCUAUGGAGCAGGCUACCUUCCUAUUCUGCUCCAAUUUCAACUGCUUACCUCUGAAUGUUACAUAACAGAACAAUAAACUUCUGCCUUAUUUGA